rnacentral:rRNA from 1 species
ACGGAGGGUGCAAGCGUUGCUCGGAAUUAUUGGGCGUAAAGGGUAGGUAGGUGGUCUCAUUUGUCUCGUGUGAAAGCCUUGGGCUUAACCCAAGAAGUGCGCGAGAAACGGUGAGACUCGAGUACUGGAGAGGGUCGUGGAAUUCCCGGUGUAGCGGUGAAAUGCGUAGAGAUGCGGAGGAACACCGAUGGCGAAGGCAGCCCCCUGGGCUAACACUGACGCUCAGGCACAAAAGCGUGGGGAGCAAACAGGA